rnacentral:misc_RNA from 1 species
UGCUAAACUCAAGCCUACUUGUAGGCCUGGUCUUGGGCUUUGUCCACUCUGGUGGACAUGCCUCAAAUGCAACGGCGACACUGCCUGGCUUCAAGCGUCUAGGAAACUUCACCGCUUCUGUCAGAUAAAUGUCUGCCUCUCAACCCCAAUUUUUAUUCUGGGUUGACCUCGGAUCAGGUAGGGAUACCCGCUGAACUUAA